GGGCGGAGCGGGGCCGAGGAGGUGGAGCGGCAUGGGGCGGAGCGUGACGGGGCGGGAAGGAAGGGAGAGAGACGUGGAUUAGAUGGGAAGGUGAGGUGGUUUAGUGUGUUGUUGUGUUGUGUUGUUGUUAGUGUGGUUCUUGUUUUUUUGUUUUACUUUUGUUUUGGUUAUUUUACUUUUUAUUUUUUUUAUUUAUUGUUUUUUUUUACUAUAAUUUUGGAUCAUUGGUGUAUUUUUUUUUAUUUCUACUUUACUCUUUUUUAUCCGUUUUUCUUUUUUUUUUUUUACUUUAUUUUUUUUUAUAUAAUUUUGGAUGUUUUUUUUUAUUUUUACUUUACUCUUUUUUCAUAGUUUGCUUUUGUUUAAUUUUAAUUUUUUCCGUUUUCCUUUGUGUUUUUUAAUUUUACUUUAUUUAUUUAUUUUAUUUUUUGCAUAACAGCGUCAAGGAAAGUUAAAUUUUUUAUCCCGGGUUUUAGUUUUAUUUUAUUAUUAUUAUUAUUAUUAUUUUUUUUUUGCACUACAGGAUCAGCGACAGUGUAAUUUUUUGGGGUUUAAUCUGUUCUUAUUUUAUCUUUUUAUUGAUAUUUUAAAUUUUUGCGUUAUGGAAUCGGUGCCAAUUUAAUUUUUUUUCAUCAUUAUUUGUGUGUUUGUGUGUUUGUUUUCAGUUUAUUUAUAUAUAUUUUUUUAGUGUGUGUGUGUUUGUGUGUGUGUGUGUGUGUGUGUGUGUGUGUGUGUGUGUGUGUGUGUGUGUGUGUGUGUGUGUGUGUGUGUGUGUGUGUGUGUGACGGUAUACAAAGUGAAUACGUAACUCAAAUUGUGGUCAUACUUUUAUAAUCGUGAGCAUCGUUUACUGCGUUUAUUAUUAUUAUUAUUAUUAUUAUUAUUAUUAUUAUUUUUAUUAUUAUUAUUAUUAUUAUUAUUAUUAUUAUUAUUGUUGUUAUUUUUAUUAUUAUUAUCGGAAAGCAACUUCAUCGAUUUCAAAAGCAAGUGUGUUUGAGCUUCAUUUUAAUUCAUGCUCGAGUUUAAUCUUGAUGGGAAAGUAAAAAAAAGAAAGUCAGCUCAAUUAUGAAAGGCGUCUAUUUAAUUCAUAUUCAUUCAAGGUUAAUUUUUUAAAAAAGUAUAAUUCUAAAAAGUUAAAAAAAUAAAGUUAGCUCAAUUAUAAAAGCUUCUAUUCAAUUAAUAUCCAUUCGACGUUAAGUUUUAAAAGAGCAAAAUUUUAAAACGUUAAAAAGAAAGUCAGUUUAGUCAUUAUGAAAAAUCGUUAACUUGUAAAAAUGGACUGAACAAGUUAAAAGAAAAAUUCUGACUGACUCCAAACAAUAACAAAGACUUUGAUGAAUUAAAUAAAAAUGUGUAUAAUUAUCUCCAUUUUGUUAUUAUGUUCUUUUAAAGCUCCCCAAAGCAAACAAAAAGUAUAAUUAGUAAUGCCCGGUUAGCAUUGCCCCAAAAUCGUGUUAGUACAAAUAUUAAACAGUGAACAGUUACGUGGAUUUUAACGUCAGUCUGUUAAGUGUUGUGUGUGAAAAUACCCUGUAACUUGCAGACAAAAGGUGUUGGAUCCUGCUUACAUAAAGGUUCAGGAUUCCACACACACGCUUUUGUCCGCAAAUAAAAAAAAAGGAAAAAAAGGAUAAUGCAACAACCAAAGAAAACUAUAUACAAAUUUCAUGGUAUAACUUACGGAAAAAAAAAUAUAAGUGAAAGCAUAAAAUAACACACUUGCAUAGAACCAAAAAAUAUAUACUCACUUCCUUUUAUUAUUUCUUAUGUUAGAUAUUUAUUUGGGUUUAAUUUAUAUUUAGUGUAAGUGUGGUGAACAAGCGUACGUACUUACUGUGGUGCAACUUACGGCCUAGGGUUAGUGUGUGUUUAAAUGGUUGGUUUGGAAGCGGGAAAAACGCAAACAAAAAAACAUGUAUUGGUGAGUCGUUCAAAAAAAAAAAAAAAAAAAAACGUGUAUUGGUGAGUCGAGUUUAGUGUGACUGUUAGGUUUUUAUGGUUUAGUGUUUUGUUAUAUAUGAAGCGUUAAGUGUGAGAGGGUGACCAAGCUAAUUAAGUCGAUAUUUUGUUGUUGUUUUUCUUUCUUUUUCAUAUUUUUUUGCUGUUUUUUUUUCUUUACUUUUUCAUAUUGUUUUAUUUUUUUAUUUGUUCUUCAUAUUGAUUUGUUUUUUUCUUUGUUUUUCAUAUUGAUUUGUUGUUUUUUCUUUCUUUUUCAUAUUGAUUUGUUGAUUUUUCCUCCUUUUUCAUAUUGUGUUGUUUUUUCUUUGUUUUUUAUACUGAUUUGUUGUUUUUUCCUACUUUUUCACAUUUUGUUCUGUUGUUUUUUUCUAUUUUUCAUAUUGAUUUGUUGUUUUCUUUUCUUUUUCACUUUUCUUUAUUUUUUUGGCAUCGGGCAUCUGAAUUCUUGCUGGGUCGUGUGGUGACGCAAAUUAAGGAAAAAUCAACCUUAAAAAGAGUGAUUCCUAGGCCUAAAGUUGUAUGAUUUUAACCCACACUCAGCUGGCGUGGGACGGGCAGAGUCUGGUCGCUUAAAAACACAAUAUCCUUAAGACUAUUAAAACGACAGGUCACCCCCUUAUACACUAAACACCUCAUAUACACUGUGGCUUCAGUCUAUACACAUAUAUAUAUUUUCCUAUCCACACUAACUUGGCAGAUAAGCCCCGCCCACUCCAACCCAGCCUCCACCAAUCACAUGCAGCCUGGGUUGGUGAGGGGGCGGGGUUUACUUGUGGGGCAGCCAAUGGGAUGCUUAAUUGAGGAAGGGGGAGGGGCUUAUGUGCCAAGAUAGGCCCCACCCACUCCAGCCUUUCCCAGCCUCCACCAAUCACAUGCAGCCUGGGUUGGUGAGGGGGCGUGGCUUACUUGUGGGCCAGCCAAUGGGAUGCUUAAUUGAGGAAGGGGGAGGGGCUUAUGUGCCAAGUUAGUGUGGAUAAGGUGUGGGUCUGGUGUCAACUGGUGUAGGAUACGUUGAUUUAGGUCUUUAGUACGCCAGAAUUUUGUGUAUUAUAGGUAAGAAGUAUUGUAUUUUUGUUAACGGACCGAUUUAGAUGUUUGUUGUUGCGUGGUUUUGUUUAUUCAAUGUGAUUUUAUGUUAUUAUUAUUUACGGUUAGGCUUUUUUUACGAUCAUGAAUACAGAAAGCGAAUCUAAGCUGUUUUAAGACCGGUUGUGAUAUGGCAUAGUUUUCCUCAUUUAAUAUCUGAGUUUUUAUUGCCAUUAUUUGCAGAGAACUUUUGUGAGCGUGAAUACAAAAACUGAAUGUAAACUGUUUGAAGCCUGGCUGUGAUGUGGUAUAAUUUUCAUCAUUUAAUUCUGGCCCUGAUGUGGUAUAAUUCUCGUCACUUAAUUCCCAAGUUUAUUUCUCGAAUACGUUUCAUGAUCGUGAAUAUAAAAACUGAAUCUAAACUAAGCCUGGUUGCAGUUUGUGGAAUCAGUGUUUACGUGUUCCAUCAAUGCGUCUAAAGUUUUGAUUAGUGGUGCAGGUAGUGGUAUUAACUCUCCUAAGUAUAACAGUGGUGUGGGUAGUGUAUAGUGUAGAUAGUGGUAGUAAUAGUAGUAGUAGCGGUAAUGGUAUUAACUCUUUAAGUAUAGUACUGGUGUGAGUAGUGUAUUGCAUAGAUAGUGGUAGUAGUAAUAGUAGUGGUAGUGGUAUUAACUCUACUUAUAGUUGUAGUGGUGUGGUUAGUGUUGUUGUUGUUGUUGUUGUUGUUGGUGGUGGUGGUGGUAAUAAACUCCCUUCUUAACAUCUAAAGCAAAAUCACUUAUCACUUGCUUCAUCAGUCUCGGGAGAACUUUAAGCAAGCCUUCUAUUUAAGUACGUCCGCGCUUGGCUGUGCUAGCGUGUCCGUGGUCCCGGGUUAAACACACACACACACACACACACGGACACACACGCACAGCCAGGCGGGCCAACACACAAACAUCUAAGAAAACGUAAAAAUGAAACAGUACGACUAGACUAAAAUGAUGCGAGUGCGAGGAAUAAAAAGAGACAAAACCGUACACUAGUCUAUUUUUUGUGCUAGCGGUGCAGAAUCGGAUAAAGUAAAUAAACACAACACCAGACACGAGAGGGAGGCAGAUUCAGCCGUUCCGUUACGUGUGUCAAGCCCUCUCUCGUAAGCUAUGCCGGUGCUGGGACGGGACAGGACAGACACAUGACAGACGAACAUAACACCCAGACGGGACAGUAUAGGCUCUCGUGUCCUAGUCUAGAGAGCUGUAAAGGGGCUAUUAUCCUUAGUCAAACCACGAUUUCCGCUGGCGUGGUUCUCAUAUGUCCGUGGUUUUCUGGCGUGUCCACGAUCUUCCAAAGCUACGGUAGAUUUCACUGAAGGACGACGGUAUUACUCACCAUCAUCAGCAGCAGCAAUAACAAGAAACAAAUGAGAAGCACGCUAGCAGAAAUCGUGGUUUGACUGAAGAUCCACGGAAAAUUUGCCCAGUGUAAUAGCCACUUAAGUCAGACAAGCCAGGCAUUACGAGGUACUGCUGUAGUGAAUUAUAGAUGGAAAAUAACAAAAAAAAAUUAGGCAAGGCAAGGAAAGUUUAACGUUAGCGAUCUAGUUCUACGCCAGGAGAAGCGGAAUGUUAUUAAUUACAUAACAGGUGAGUUAGUAUAAGGUGCGUAGCGUGUAUUUAUACGUACAGGUGUAACAGCGGACAUUCUCCAUAUAACGUCAUUACUUCUUUGGGGUCAGGCUUUCGCGACUUACGGCAAGAACUCCACGUUUUUAUUUAUUUUACGUAAUGCGUUGUAAAUAUUAUGAAUCGGACACACACACACACACAGAGUAAAGGGAAAGGUCCGACUUGAGACAUGACACAAUACCCUCUUUCUUUCACAUGUAUACUUCUUAAUCAAUCACAUAUUUCACUAUAGGGACGAAAUGAGUGACUCUGAAGGGGGGCAUAGAGGCGGCGGGGGUGGUGGGGGGAGGGGGGGAAGGAGCGCAGAGAAUGACGUUAGACAAAGACGCAGCGUUACACCCGAUACAAAACAAGUGGUAUUAUAAAAAAAAUCCAGUUGUCAUUUACCUCCAGACACCAAAUCUAUCUACUCGUACAACUGCAUGCAUGUUAGCUACCAGAGGAGGAGGAGGAGGAGGAGGAGGAGGAUAAAUAAGCUGAAAUAUGGAAUGGAGGAAGAGGAAGGGGAGGCAGAGAGGACUAUAUUAAGAGGAGGAGAGGGAACGUUCGGAUUCAUAAUUAUGAGGAGGAGGAGGAGGAAGGGGAGGAGGAUAAUAGAAGAGGAGGCAGAGAAGACUAUAUUAAGAGGAGGAGGAAGAGGAGGAGAGGGAACGUUCGGAUUCAUAUUAGGAGGAGGAGGAGGAGGAAGGGGAGGAGGAUAAUAGAAGAGGAGGCAGAGAAGACUAUAUUAAGAGGAGGAGGAAGAGGAGGAGAGCAGGAGGAGGAAGCAAGAAUUAACAUCAGAAAGCAUUAAGGGGACAUCACACAAACACGACCUCUGGCAUCUCUCAAUAUUUUUCCACCAUUACGAGACGCUUCUGGGAAUUGUGUCGAGUCUCCGUACCUCUCCAUCUCACGUCCACGGAGAGACUGCACAACUACCCCAAGACUCUCUCACCGGUAAUUAACACACAGAAAUGCCAGAAGAAAUAUGUUCGCGUGAAUCUACGGUCCAUAUUUUCAGACUUUCGGGAGCUCACACACCUUCAUUUGACAAGGCUUUGGUAGAGGUUGUUGUGUUGGUGUUUCCAUGGGUAGUUUUGUGAGCCUAGUGAUAGUUUGGCAAGGCUUUGGUAGAGGUUGUUAUGUUGGUGUUUCCAUGGGUAGUUUUGUGAGCCUAGUGAUAGUUUGGCAAGGCUUUGGUAGAGGUUGUUAUGUUGGUGUUUCCAUGGGUAGUUUUGUGAGCCUAGUGAUAGUUUGGCAAGGCUUUGGUAGAGGUUGUUGUGUUGGUGUUUCCAUGGGUAGUUUUAUGAGCUUAGUGAUAGUGUGACAAGGCUUUGGUAGAGGUUGUUGUGUUGGUGUUUCCAUGGGUAGUUUUAUGAGCCUAGUGAUAGUUUGACAAGGCUUUGGUAGAGGUUGUUGUGUUGGUGUUUCCAUGGGUAGUUUUGUGAGCUCAAUGAUAGUUUGACAAGGCUUCCACACCAUGAACAUAAAAACACACUCAUGGAAACCCAACUACCCUCCUUUGUGGCCUUGGAAAAUAGAGCCGUGAGACCCAAAAGCUGAGAACACGAACGCAGACAAAAGGUUUCAGAAUCACAGCAAAGAGCGGUAUAGAGUGAAGCGAUUGCAGUUAGCGAGUUAGAAGCUGGAGUUAGAGGAUUAGAGUCCGGGUUUAUGGAGGAAUUAGAGCAAGAAUCGGCUCUACAAGACUA